UACGGGGGGGGCAUGCGUUGUUCGGAAUUACUGGGCGUAAAGGGCUCGUAGGCGGCCAACUAAGUCAGACGUGAAAUCCCUCGGCUUAACCGGGGAACUGCGUCUGAUACUGGAUGACUUGAGUUUGGGAGAGGGAUGCGGAAUUCCAGGUGUAGCGGUGAAAUGCGUAGAUAUCUGGAGGAACACCGGUGGCGAAGGCGGCAUCCUGGACCAACACUGACGCUGAGUGAGCGAAAGCCAGGGGAGCAAACGGG
rnacentral:rRNA from 1 species